rnacentral:rRNA from 1 species
AGCGAACGCUGGCGGCAGGCCUAACACAUGCAAGUCGAACGGACCCUUCGGGGUUAGUGGCGGACGGGUGAGUAACACGUGGGAACGUGCCUUUAGGUUCGGAAUAGCUCCUGGAAACGGGUGGUAAUGCCGAAUGUGCCCUUCGGGGGAAAGAUUUAUCGCCUUUAGAGCGGCCCGCGUCUGAUUAGCUAGUUGGUGGGGUAAUGGCCCACCAAGGCUACGAUCAGUAGCUGGUCUGAGAGGAUGACCAGCCACAUUGGGACUGAGACACGGCCCAAACUCCUACGGGAGGCAGCAGUGGGGAAUCUUGCGCAAUGGGCGAAAGCCUGACGCAGCCAUGCCGCGUGGAUGAUGAAGGUCUUAGGAUUGUAAAAUCCUUUCACCGGUGAAGAUAAUGACUGUAGCCGGAGAAGAAGCCCCGGCUAACUUCGUGCCAGCCGCCGCAGUAAUAC